AACGAACGCUGGCGGCAUGCCUAACACAUGCAAGUCGAACGAUGGUCUUCGGAUCAUAGUGGCGCACGGGUGCGUAACGCGUGGGAAUCUGCCCUUGGGUUCGGAAUAACAGUUGGAAACGACUGCUAAUACCGGAUGAUGUCGAUAAGACCAAAGAUUUAUCGCCCGAGGAUGAGCCCGCGUCGGAUUAGCUAGUUGGUGGGGUAAAGGCCUACCAAGGCGACGAUCCGUAGCUGGUCUGAGAGGAUGAUCAGCCACACUGGGACUGAGACACGGCCCAGACCCCUACGGGAGGGAGCAGUGGGGAAUAUUGGACAAGGGGCGCAAGCCUGAUCCAGCAAUGCCGGGUGAGUGAUGAAGGCCUUAGGGUUGUAAAGCUCUUUUACCCGGGAAGAUAAUGACUGUACCGGGAGAAUAAGCCCCGGCUAACUCCGUG
rnacentral:rRNA from 1 species